AGAGUGGUCGGCAGCGCAAAAUGUGUAAUAGAGUCUUUGUUGAUUUAGGUCACUUUUCUUUAAAUUUUUGUUAGUAUUUAAUUCUUUUAGUUGUUUUGUUUUUGAUAACUGGUUGUUGAUUUUAAUUAAAGUUUUAUUCUUGCUUGAAUAUUCAUUUAUUUUUUAUUUUAUAUACUAGUUUUGAGGACUGAAUGUUUCGUUAUGUAGUAAUUUAAUUUAAUUAUCAAGUUAUUUUGGAAUUAGUAAUUAAUUUAGUUUUGACAAAUUUUGUGCCAGCAGUCGCGGUUAUACAAUUGACGCAAAUAAAUAUUUUGACUUUGCAGAUAAUUAUUUUUAUAAGGUUUUUAAUAUAUUUUUAUUAGGUGAAAUUUUUUAUUGGUUAAUUAAUCUUAUUUUGAUUCUGUGAAAAUUUAAAUUUAAACUAGGAUUAGAUACCCUACUAUUUUAAGUUGUGAAUUUUGGUCAGAGUAUUAAUAGUUAGGUUCUUUAAACUCAAAGAAUUUGGCGGCAUUCCAUUCCAUUUAGAGGAACCUGUCCCGUGAUCGAUAAUACACGAUUUGUUAUACUUGGUUUAUGUUUGUAUAUCUCCGUUAUUAGAAUGUCUUUUUAGAGUAUAUAGAAUUUUCUUAGUUCUUAAUUUAGAUUAAUUUCAGGUCAAGAUGCAGCUUUAAUUAAGUGGAGAUGGGUUACAAUAAUUUUGAUAUUGCGGUUUUUAUUUUGUAAAUUUUUGAUUAAGUUGGAUUUAAUAGUAAUUUAUUUUACUUUAUUUAUUUGAAAUCAGGUUUUGGGUUGUGUACACAUCGCCCGUCGCUCUCAUUAUUUUAUUUAUUGGUAUUAAUUACUUAAUUUGAGAUAAGUCGUAACAUAGUAGGUGUACUGGAAGGUGUAUCUAGAAAGAUUU
rnacentral:ncRNA from 1 species